rnacentral:lncRNA from 1 species
AUCAAUAUUGUGACUCUCAGACAUGUGUCAGCCACAGGGCUCUCCAGGGCUCCUUCUCUGGGGAUUCUUGUGAAGAUGGAAAAUUAGCCUCCAAUCCUGGGCAGUCUGAGUGAUGGCUUUCCCAGAGGCAGGAGGGUGAGAGGAUCAGAGUGUCAGAGCUGUCAGAGACCUCAGAUUCCAGCUCACCCAAUUCCCUCAUCUUAGAGAUGAGGAAACUGAAGCCAGCGAGGGAGAGCCACUUUCCUCAGCUCACCCAGGAAGUGUGAGGUGGAGACAAGGUCAGAGUCCUUGCUUCUUAGUUCCUACUCAAUGCUGCUUCAGCCUCAUCCAUCUCCCACUGCCAGGAUUGUUAUUGUUUUUGUUUUCUUGUUUACUUUGUACAAAGAUUCUCUCUUUGAAUUUCUCCACCUGUACAGUGGUAGAGUUGCUCUAGGCCAGCACUGUCUAAUAGAAAUAUGUAAGCCUCACAGGUGAUUUUAAAUUUUCUUUCUUUUCCUUAAAUAAACUGGUGAAAUUAAUUUUUAAUACUUUGUUUAACCUAGUAUAUCCAAAAUAUUAUUUCAACAUGCAAUCGCUGUAUGAUUGUUAAUGAGAUAUUUCACGUCGUUUCUUAUUGAAUCUUUGUGAUCUCAUGUGUAUUUUACAGCACAUCUUAAUUUCAGCUCACCACAAUCCGAGUGCUCAACAGCCACACGUGACCAGAGGCUGCAGUGUUGGACAGCAGAGCUCUCGGGCAAUGGUUUCCAGUGCAAGUCUGCCAGUCUACGAUGAAAAGUGUCCUGCCUCCAGGGGACUUCGCAAGUUUUCUGGCAUCUGGGAUAUAAAGGUGAGCUAUAGCUUUAACACCGCAAACUUCACACAUACACCCCAUUGCACACCCUGCAAACACACAACAGGAAAAGAAUUCUGAAUAUAUGAACAUGCAUCUUGAGGUUUCUUGCUUUGUCUGGACUUCCAUGAGCUGGAGACAUCUACUUUGGCUUCCUUCUGCCUUUUAUUUUAUUUUAUUUUAUUUUUCUGAGGAAGAUUCGCCUUGAGCUAACAUCUAUUGCCAAUAUUCCUCUUUUUGCUUAAGGAAGAUUGUCCAAUCUUCCUCUCUUUUGUAUGUGGGUUGCCGCCACAGCAUGGCUGUGAGCAAGUGGUAUAGGUCUGCCCCUGGGAACUGAACCUGGGCUGCCAAAGCAAAGUGUGCUGAACUUAACCACUAGGCCAUGGGGCCAGCCCCCUUCCUUCUGCCUUUUAAACUUUCCUUGUACCCCUGUUCCUCUUCCUAAACCCCUAACUCCUGCCAGCAUAUCUGCUCUCCAGGCCUUGAGAUCAGCUCUUACUUUGACCUGACAAAAGAAUAACAACUAAUAAAAAUUACCUAGUCUUUUUGUAUGUUUGAAAC